rnacentral:rRNA from 1 species
AUGCCCAAGCGCACCAUGGGAGGGAGGGCUAACGCUGGGGCUGACGCCAUGGCGCAUGAAGCUCCGGUGCAGGUGUCACCUACGCCGGAGCAGGUGACUCCUCCACGGGAGCAGGUGACUCCUCUGCCACGCCAUCUGCCUCCUCUGCCGCAGCCCGUGGUCAACAUUGAUGGCGACGAUGAUGAAGAAGAGGUAGCUGCUUUGGCUCCUCAGACAAAGCAGGUGUCUCCUCUGCCGCGGGUGAUGCCUUCUGUGCCCGAGCCUGUGGUCGUCGGCGAUGUCAACAAAGAAGAUCCUCAGCCGGGUGUUCGUCUGCCGCGAUUGUUGCCUCCCCAGCCCCCAGCUAUGGUUGUCGCCGACGAGAACGAAGAAGAGGUUUUCCCUGGUCAGUACAAGGCAAAUAAGGUCCUAAGUGACGACGUUGACAGUGACCCAGAAACCCAGAGGAUCUUUAGGAGGCAGAAGGUGAGGAAACUGGACAGUGGUGAGCUCGAGAAAGUUGUGAGGCCUAGACUCGGAAAGGGCUACGGAUGCCCUUACUACAACAAGGUGAUGAAAGGCGACCUGUCGAGUACCAUCAACCAUGCAGUCAGAACAUCCCAAGGCAGCACCAAGAAUGGCUACCCUUUCAGGGUGAAGCACGCCGCAUAUGCCGACUACUUGAUGAGGCUUCUUUGA